rnacentral:rRNA from 1 species
UGGGGAAUAUUGCACAAUGGGCGAAAGCCUGAUGCAGCAACGCCGCGUGAGUGAUGAAGGUCUUCGGAUUGUAAAGCUCUGUCUUUUGGGACGAUAAUGACGGUACCAAAGGAGGAAGCCACGGCUAACUACGUGCCAGCAGCCGCGGUAAUACGUAGGUGGCGAGCGUUGUCCGGAUUUACUGGGCGUAAAGGGUGCGUAGGCGGAUGUUUAAGUGAGAUGUGAAAUACCCGGGCUUAACUUGGGUGCUGCAUUUCAAACUGGAUAUCUAGAGUGCAGGAGAGGAGAAUGGAAUUCCUAGUGUAGCGGUGAAAUGCGUAGAGAUUAGGAAGAACACCAGUGGCGAAGGCGAUUCUCUGGACUGUAACUGACGCUGAGGCACGAAAGCGUGGGUAGCAAACAGGAU